UACAGAGGUCUCAAGCGUUGUUCGGAUUCAUUGGGCGUAAAGGGUGUGUAGGUGGCGCCGUAAGUCGGGUGUGAAAUUCGAUGCUUAACUCCGAAACUGCAUUCGAUACUGCGUGCUUGAGGACUGGAGAGGAGACUGGAAUUCAUGGUGUAGCAGUGAAAUGCGUAGAGAUCAUGAGGAAGACCAGUGGCGAAGGCGGGUCUCUGGACAGUUCCUGACACUGAGACACGAAGGCCAGGGGAGCAAACGGG
rnacentral:rRNA from 1 species